CCAUGGGGGACUGGCCCGAGGGUUGGCACACACACACACACAAACACACUCUCACACCCAUCUGUGUGUGCACAUCUGCAGAGGGAACAGAAGACCAUCAGAGCAAAGAGAGAAUGCACACACACACACACACACACACACACACACACACACACACACACACACACACACACACACACACACACACACACACACACACACACACACACACACACACACACACACACACACACACACACACACACACACACACACACACACAAGCUACAAGGACAUUCUCACCAGAGGCCAGUGUCACCUUCACCACAUAUCCCAAUAGUAUGGGCACGAUUAGAAAUACACACAAAUACUACACAUUUAGCCUAGAAUAUAUAGAAAUAUAUAUCACCCACAGUUAUAUAUAUAUAUGUGUGUAAAACUAUAAAUACAAACCCCCAACAGGAAUAUCUAUGUAAAUCUAGGUAUAGGAGUAUCGUAGUGUGUGCACAGAUUCAACUGUAUGAAUAGAUUAGUGUGUCCGUCUCCCGUGGAUGUUUCCUUAUAGAGCAACAGUGACGCCACGUUAGACAGCACAGGAGAUCUGGUGCACGCAGCUCUAUUCUACAAGUAGCACAGCAGUCGACCCGGCGUGAACCACUGCGCCCGAGUCACUACCGACAGGGAGAAAGGGAAAAAAUGGAAGGAGCGAGGGAGGAGAGUGAGGGAUGCACUUCUGGGUGCUAAUGAAUGAAUGAAGCAAGCGAUUACAAAGUGAUGGAGAAAGAGAGAGAGGAGAAUGGAGGGCAGGAAAUUCCCUAAAGGAGAGGAGGAGAGAAAGGGAGGCAAAUUGAAUAGUGACACUGGAGAGAUGUGUUCAGUGCUUGGGCUCUGCUAGUUGUGUGUGUAUCAGUGGGGUAGAGUAGGUACCAGUUUACAGCUGAGCUGAUGAGGUGUGUGUAUCAGUGGGGUAGAGUAGGUACCAGUUUACAGCUGAGCUGAUGAGGUGUGUGUAUCAGUGGGGUAGAGUAGGUACCAGUUUACAGCUGAGCUGAUGAGGUGUGUGUAUCAGUGGGGUAGAGUAGGUACCAGUGUACAGCUGAGCUGAUGAGGUGUGUGUAUCAGUGGGGUAGAGUAGGUACCAGUUUACAGCUGAGCUGAUGAGGUGUGUGUAUCAGUGGGGUAGAGUAGGUACCAGUUUACAGCUGAGCUGAUGAGGUGUGUGUAUCAGUGGGGUAGAGUAGGUACCAGUUUACAGCUGAGCUGAUGAGGUGUGUGUAUCAGUGGGGUAGAGUAGGUACCAGUUUACAGCUGAGCUGAUGAGGUGUGUGUAUCAGUGGGGUAGAGUAGGUACCAGUUUACAGCUGAGCUGAUGAGGUGUGUGUAUCAGUGGGGUAGAGUAGGUACCAGUUUACAGCUGAGCUGAUGAGGUGUGUGUAUCAGUGGGGUAGAGUAGGUACCAGUUUACAGCUGAGCUGAUGAGGUGUGUGUAUCAGUGGGGUAGAGUAGGUACCAGUUUACAGCUGAGCUGAUGAGGUGUGUGUAUCAGUGGGGUAGAGUAGGUACCAGUUUACAGCUGAGCUGAUGAGGUGUGUGUAUCAGUGGGGUAGAGUAGGUACCAGUUUACAGCUGAGCUGAUGAGGUGUGUGUAUCAGUGGGGUAGAGUAGGUACCAGUUUACAGCUGAGCUGAUGAGGUGUGUGUAUCAGUGGGGUAGAGUAGGUACCAGUUUACAGCUGAGCUGAUGAGGUGUGUGUAUCAGUGGGGUAGAGUAGGUACCAGUUUACAGCUGAGCUGAUGAGGUGUGUGUAUCAGUGGGGUAGAGUAGGUACCAGUUUACAGCUGAG